GACGUAGGGCGCGAGCGUUGUCCGGAUUUAUUGGGCGUAAAGAGCUCGUAGGCGGCUUGUCGCGUCGACCGUGAAAACCCGUGGCUCAACUACGGGCUGGCGGUCGAUACGGGCAGGCUGGAGUUCGGUAGGGGAGACUGGAAUUCCUGGUGUAGCAGUGAAAUGCGUAGAUAUCAGGAGGAAUACCGAUGGCGAAGGCAGGUCUCUGGGCUAUAACUGACGCUCAUGCACGAAAGCGUGGGGAGCAAACAGG
rnacentral:rRNA from 1 species